rnacentral:tRNA from 1 species
ACGUGGGUGGCUCAGUCGGUUGAGCGUCUGACUUCGGCUCAGGUCAUAAUCUCACGGUUUGUGAGUUCAAGCCCCACGUC